rnacentral:lncRNA from 8 species
AUGUCGAGAGGAAGACAAAAUCAACGCUUGAAGAAACUGAUCAUCCUUCGAGGUUUGCCAGGAGUUGGAAAGACAAGCACGGCAGAAAUGCUCUGUGAUGAAUAUGCAAGACCUGAAGUGGAAAGAGGAAUUUUCUCCACUGACAGGUACCAUAAAAGGUCCAACUACAACAGGAAAUACUUUCAACGCAACCAUCAGCGGAAUAGAGAGGAUGUUUUUAAAGCCUUGAACAGAGGAGUGGAUCCGAUCAUCGUUGACAACACAAACAUUUCUCUUUGGGAGAUGUGGCCCUAUAUCCACAUGUCAUUGUCACAUCCUUUGUACUUGAGAACCUAA